rnacentral:rRNA from 1 species
CGGCGGACGGGUGAGUAACGCGUGGGUAACCUGCCUCAUACAGGGGGAUAACAGUUGGAAACGGCUGCUAAUACCGCAUAAGCCCACGGGUCGGCAUCGACCUGAGGGAAAAGGAGCAAUCCGCUUUGAGAUGGCCUCGCGUCCGAUUAGCUAGUUGGUGAGGUAACGGCCCACCAAGGCGACGAUCGGUAGCCGGACUGAGAGGUUGAACGGCCACAUUGGGACUGAGACACGGCCCAG